UACGAGUGCUCCAAGCGUUAUCCGGAAUCAUUGGGCGUAAAGGGUGUGUAGGCGGUUGUGUUAGUCUUUUGUUAAAUUCUUCGGCUUAACCGGGGGCAUGCGAAAGGAAACGGCACAACUUGAGGAUGCGAGAGGUGAAUGGAACUCAUGGAGUAGGGGUGAAAUCCGUUGAUAUCAUGGGGAACACCAAAAGCGAAGGCAAUUCACUGGCGCACUCCUGACGCUGAAACACGAAAGCGUAGGUAGCGAAUGGG
rnacentral:rRNA from 1 species